rnacentral:rRNA from 1 species
GAUGAACGCUGGCGGCGUGCCUAAUACAUGCAAGUCGAGCGAACAGACGAGGAGCUUGCUCCUCUGACGUUAGCGGCGGACGGGUGAGUAACACGUGGAUAACCUACCUAUAAGACUGGGAUAACUUCGGGAAACCGGAGCUAAUACCGGAUAAUAUAUUGAACCGCAUGGUUCAAUAGUGAAAGACGGUUUUGCUGUCACUUAUAGAUGGAUCCGCGCCGCAUUAGCUAGUUGGUAAGGUAACGGCUUACCAAGGCAACGAUGCGUAGCCGAGCUGAGAGGGUGAUCGGCCACACUGGAACUGAGACACGGUCCAGACUCCUACGGGAGGCAGCAGUAGGGAAUCUUCCGCAAAGGGCGAAAGCCUGACGGAGCAACGCCGCGUGAGUGAUGAAGGUCUUCGGAUCGUAAAACUCUGUUAUUAGGGAAGAACAAAUGUGUAAGUAACUAUGCACGUCUUGACGGUACCUAAUCAGAAAGCCACGGCUAACUACGUG